GUGCUAUCACAAAAUACAUCAGUAAAAGAAAAUUUGGGGAAAAAAUUAGCAUGGCCCCUGCACAAGGAUGACACGCAAAUUUGUGAAGCAUUCCAUAUUUUU